CCUUCAGUGGUCGGUUUCAUUGGUGAAUCAGAAUAACUAUCACGAACCAGAACGCCAUUCGUGGUGAUUUCUGGUGGUUCAUUCAAAUUUCUGCCCUAUCAUACUUUCGAUGGUAGUAUAGAGGACUACCAUGGUUGUAACGGGUAACGGAGAAUUAGGGUUCGAUUCCGGAGAGGGAGCCUGAGGGACGGCUACCACUUCUAAGGAAGGCAGCAGGCGCGCAAAUUACCCAAUCAGAAAUUCUGGAGGUAGUGACAAUAAAUAACAAUACAAGUCUUUAUAAGUCGUGUAAUUGGAAUGAGAGCAAUUUAAACCCCUCAUCGAGUAGCAAUUGGAGGGCAAGUCUGGUGCCAGCAGCCGCGGUAAUUCCAGCUCCACUAGUAUAUACUAAUUUGUUGCAGUUAAAGAGCUCGUAGUUGGAUUCAAGAUUUUGGACGACUGGUCUCACGUUAAAUUGUGAUGUACCGUUGCUCAAUGUCUUAUUUUUCUUGUAAAAAGUCUUCCAGUAAUCGCCUACUGCCAUUGAUUUGGUGGGUUGGGAUCACGGUUCUGGAUUCUUUACUCUGAAAAAAUUAGAGUGUUCAAAACAGCCAAGUAUUAUUUGGCAUUGAAUAGAUUAGCAUGGGAUAAUGGAAAAGGAUCACGUCACUUUUUCAUUGGUUUAUAGUGGUGUGAUAAUGAUAAAUAGGAACAAUCGGGGGCAUUAGUAUUCAGUUGUCAGAAGUGAAAUUCUCGGAUUCUCUGAAGACUAACAUCGGCGAAAGCAUUUGUCAAGGAUGUUUUCAUUAAUCAAGAACGAAAGUCAGGGGAUCGAAGAUGAUCAGAUACCGUCGUAGUCCUGUACCAUAAACUAUGCCGACCAGCAAUCCAAUUUAGUUACUAGUUCCAUUUCGUCUCGCGAUGAUUUUGAUGGAUGACAUUCCGGGCGGCUUGUGAGAAAUCAUAAGUGUUUAGGUCCUGGGGGGAGUAUGGUCGCAAGGCUGAAACCUAAAGGAAUUGACGGAAGGGCACCACAAGGCGUGGAGCUUGCGGCUUAAUUUGACCCAACACGGGGAAACUUACCAGGUCCGGACAUAGAAAUGAUUGACAGAUUGAGAGCUCUUUCUUGAUUCUAUGGGUGGUGGUGCAUGGCCGUUCUUAGUUCGUGGAUUGUUCUGUCUGGUUGAUUCCGAUAACGAGCGAGAUCUCUGCCUACUAAAUAGUCGGAUUAUUUUUGCUGUGGCUUUCGAGCUAAGCUUGAGGUGAUAGCGUUGGACCUGCUGCUUCGGUGGUAUGGACUCCUUUUAUCGCAAGUAGUAGAAAUGAUUCUGGAGAUGUUGCUUUUGAGUGA
rnacentral:rRNA from 1 species